GGAAGUAAAAGUCGAACAAGGUUUCCGUAGGUGGACCUGCGGAAGGAUCAUUAUUGUGUAACCGAGGUGCGAGGGCUGUCGCUGACCCGAAAGGUCGUGCACGCCCGAGUGCCCUCACACACAUCCAUCUCACCCCUAUGUGCACCACCGCGUGGGUCCCCCUUUGGCUUGUUCGGAGGGGGGCUUACGUUUUCACACAAACUUUGUAUGCAGUGUAGAAUGUAUUUUUUGUUUUUGCGAUCACGCAAUCAAUACAACUUUCAACAACGGAUCUCUUGGCUCUC
rnacentral:misc_RNA from 1 species